GAUCAUGGCUCAGGAUGAACGCUAGCUACAGGCUUAACACAUGCAAGUCGAGGGGCAUCGGGAAGAAAGCUUGCUUUCUUUGCUGGCGACCGGCGCACGGGUGAGUAACACGUAUCCAACCUGCCCUUUACUCGGGGAUAGCCUUUCGAAAGAAAGAUUAAUACCCGAUGGGAUAAUUAUUCCGCAUGGUUUGAUUAUUAAAGGAUUCCGGUAAAGGAUGGGGAUGCGUUCCAUUAGGUUGUUGGUGAGGGUAACGGU
rnacentral:rRNA from 1 species